rnacentral:rRNA from 1 species
GGCCCUUACUCCUACGGGAGGCAGCAGUGGGGAAUAUUGGACAAUGGACCAAAGUCUGAUCCAGCAAUUCUGUGUGCACGAUGACGGUCUUAGGAUUGUAAAGUGCUUUCAAUCGGGAAAAAGAAAGUGAUGGUACCGAUAGAAGAAGCGACGGCUAAAUACGUGCCAGCAGCCGCGGUAAUACGUAUGUCGCAAGCGUUAUCCGGAUUUAUUGGGCGUAAAGCGCGUCUAGGCGGUUUGGUAAGUCUGAUGUGGAAAUGCGGGGCUCAACUCCGUAUUGCGUUGGAAACUGCCAGACUAGAGUACUGGAGAGGUGGGCGGAACUACAAGUGUAGAGGUGAAAUUCGUAGAUAUUUGUAGGAAUGCCGAUAGAGAAG